UACGUAGGGUGCAAGGCGUUAAUCGGAAUUACUGGGCGUAAAGUGUGCGCAGGCGGCGCCGCAAGUCGAGUGUGAAAUCCCCGAGCUUAACUUGGGAAUUGCGCUCGAAACUACGGUGCUGGAGUAUGGCAGAGGAAGGUGGAAUUCCCGGUGUAGCGGUGGAAUGCGUAGAGAUCGGGAAGAAUACCAGUGGCGAAGGCGUUCUGCUGGGCCGUUGCUGACACUGAGGCGCGACAGCGUGGGGAGCAAACAGG
rnacentral:rRNA from 1 species